GCUGCGGUCACACUGCAGAACCCCUUUAAACCGCAGAAAUCGCUCGCGUUUUUUGUCGCGGCGUUUGACUUUUAAAAAGAUCGGAAAGAAUAUUAAAAAGUUGUCCUGUGAAAAGGAUUGAAACGGCCGAGUUGCAAACCUAAUGCCAAUUGGCGCGAGUAACGGCGGAUAAUUCAGAAAACGGGAGAAACACGCAAGCGAAAAAUCGAAGUUGUGCGGAAAAACCAGUUUUCUUUUUGCCCAGCGAGCAGCAGCAGCAGCAGCAGCAACAACAACAACAUCGCGUAGUUUAAAAAACAAGCAGAAAUCCUGUUCAGUCCUGAAUUAAAUAGCCCCCACAAAGAAAUCAAAAGAAAAAUGCCAAUGAAAGUGUCGUGCAAUAAGGCCAAUUAAUCAAAAAAAGAAGUACGAAAACGAGCUUUUCCCCUGAGAUUCCUGCGAACUAAGCUUGUUUUAAGCAGACUAACUAAAAACUUUAAUUGUGCAACUACAACAAGAAGAGCAACAAUAGCAGCAGCAGCGGAGUCUCAGCAAUUGGCACAAUUGGCGAUAAAUCAGCAGCAGCAGAAGAAGAAGAAGCGGGCAAAGCAGUGUGAACUUUAGCAGACGCAGC